rnacentral:rRNA from 1 species
AUUGAACGCUGGCGGCAUGCCUUACACAUGCAAGUCGAACGGCAGCACGGGAGCAAUCCAGGUGGCGAGUGGCGAACGGGUGAGUAAUAUAUCGGAACGUGCCCAGUCGUGGGGGAUAACGCAGCGAAAGCUGUGCUAAUACCGCAUACGAUCUAAGAAUGAAAGCGGGGGAUCGCAAGACCUCGCGCGAUUGGAGCGGCCGAUAGCAGAUUAGCUAGUUGGUGGGGUAAAGGCCCACCAAGGCGACGAUCUGUAGCUGGUCUGAGAGGACGACCAGCCACACUGGAACUGAGACACGGUCCAGACUCCUACGGGAGGCAGCAGUGGGGAAUUUUGGACAAUGGGCGCAAGCCUGAUCCAGCAAUGCCGCGUGCAGGAUGAAGGCCUUCGGGUUGUAACUGCUUUUGUACGGAACGAAACGGCCCUUUCUAAUACAGGGGGCUAUUGACGGUACCGUAAGAAUAAGCACCGGCUAACUACGUGCCAGCAGCCGCCGUAAUAC